rnacentral:rRNA from 1 species
UACGGGGGGAGCAAGCGUUGUUCGGAUUUACUGGGCGUAAAGGGCGCGUAGGCGGCCACCGCAGGUCGGGUGUGAAAUCUCCGGGCUUAACCCGGAAAGGUCAAUCGAUACUGCGGUGCUAGAGUGCAGAAGGGGCAACUGGAAUUCUCGGUGUAGCGGUGAAAUGCGUAGAUAUCGAGAGGAACACCUGCGGCGAAGGCGGGUUGCUGGGCUGACACUGACGCUGAAGUGCGAAAGCUAGGGGAGCGAACGGG